rnacentral:rRNA from 1 species
AUUGAACGCUGGCGGCAUGCUUUACACAUGCAAGUCGAACGGUAACAGGCCUUCGGGUGCUGACGAGUGGCGAACGGGUGAGUAAUGCAUCGGAACGUACCCAGAGGUGGGGGAUAACGCAGCGAAAGCUGUGCUAAUACCGCAUGUGAUCUGAGGAUGAAAGCGGGGGACCGAGCAGCAAUGUUUGGCCUCGCGCCUUUGGAGCGGCCGAUGUCGGAUUAGCUAGUUGGUGGGGUAAAGGCCUACCAAGGCGACGAUCCGUAGCUGGUCUGAGAGGACGACCAGCCACACUGGGACUGAGACACGGCCCAGACUCCUACGGGAGGCAGCAGUGGGGAAUUUUGGACAAUGAGCGCAAGCCUGAGCCAGCAAUGCCGCGGGCGGGAAGAAGGCCUUCGGGUUGUAAACCGCUUUUGGCAGGAACGAAACGGUGUCCGCUAAUACCGGGCGCUAAUGACGGUACCUGCAGAAUAAGCACCGGCUAACUACGU